AAAAGAACCCCGGGAGGGGAGUGAAAUAGAUCCUGAAACCGCAUACAUACAAACAGUAGGAGCCUCGUUAAGGGGUGACUGCGUACCUUUUGCAUAAUGGGUCAGCGACUUACGUUUAAUGGCGAGCUUAACCGUAUAGGGGAGGCGCAGCGAAAGCGAGUUCGAACAGAGCGUUCAGUCGUUAGGCGUAGACCCGAAACCAGAUGAUCUAUCCAUGGCCAGGUUGAAGGUGUGGUAACACACACUGGAGGACCGAACCGACUAGUGUUGCAAAAUUAGCGGAUGAGCUGUGGAUAGGGGUGAAAGGCUAAACAAAUCUGGAGAUAGCUGGUUCUCCCCGAAAACUAUUGAGGUAGUGCCUCGUGUAUGACUCCAGGGGGUAGAGCACUGUUAUGGCUAGGGGGACAUGGCGUCUUACCAAACCAUGGCAAACUCCGAAUACUUGGAAGUUUGAGCACGGGAGACAGAGCACCGGGUGCUAACGUCCGGACUCAAGAGGGAAACAACCCAGACCGCCGGCUAAGGUCCCUAAUAUUGACUAAGUGGAAAACGAAGUGGAAAGGCUAAGACAGUCAGGAAGUUGGCUUAGAAGCAGCCAUCCUUCAAAGAAAGCGUAAUAGCUCACUGAUCGAGUCUUUCUGCGCGGAAGAUGUAACGGGGCUAAGUCAAUAACCGAAGCCGCGGAUUCACACUUAUGUGUGAGUGGUAGGGGAGCGUUCUGUAAGCCUGCGAAGGUGACUCGUAAGGGUUGCUGGAGGUAUCAGAAGUGCGAAUGCUGACAUGAGUAACGUUAAAGCGGGUGAAAAGCCCGCUCGCCGUAAGCCCAAGGUUUCCUGCUCUACGUUCAUCGGAGCAGGGUGAGUCGGCCCCUAAGGUGAGGCUGAGAAGCGUAACUGAUGGGAACAAGGUUAAUAUUCCUUGACCACCGCUGAAUGCGAAGGGGGGACGGAGUAUUGAAGAUCAUCCGGGUGUUGGAUAUCCCGGUUUGCGAGCGUAGGAGGCUGACAGGCAAAUCCGUCAGCGAAUCUCCGAGGCAAAGCAUCGAGCUCUCUUUUGAGCGAAGUGAUUGGAUGUGCUUCCAGGAAAAGCCUCUAAGCUCCAGUUCAGCGGGACCGUACCGCAAACCGACACUGGUGGGCGAGCUGAAUAUGCUCAGGCGCUUGAGAGAACUCAGGAGAAGGAACUCGGCAAAUUGACACCGUAACUUCGGGAUAAGGUGUGCCUUUGUAGCGUGGAGGGAGAAACACCCCGAGCGCGAAGAGGUCUCAGAUAAUCGGUGGCUGCGACUGUUUAUUAAAAACACAGCACUCUGCAAAGACGAAAGUCGACGUAUAGGGUGUGAUGCCUGCCCGGUGCUGGAAGAUUAAUUGAUGGGGUGCAAGCUCCUGAUCGAAGUCCCAGUAAACGGCGGCCGUAACUAUAACGGUCCUAAGGUAGCGAAAUUCCUUGUCGGGCAAGUUCCGACCUGCACGAAUGGCAUAACGAUGGCCACACUGUCUCCUCCUGAGACUCAGUGAAGUUGAAGUGUUUGUGAUGAUGCAAUCUCCCCGCGGCUAGACGGAAAGACCCCAUGAACCUUUACUGUAGCUUUGCAUUGGACUUUGAACCGAUCUGUGUAGGAUAGGCGGGAGCCUGUGAAACCACAACGCCAGUUGUGGCGGAGGCGUCCUUGAAAUACCGCCCUGAUUUGUUUGAGGUUCUAACCUGGGACAGUCAUCCUGUCCGGGGACCGUGCAUGGUAGGCAGUUUGACUGGGGCGGUCUCCUCCUAAAGGGUAACGGAGGAGUGCGAAGGUACGCUAGGUACGGUCGGAAAUCGUGCUGAUAGUGCAAUGGCAAAAGCGUGCUUGACUGCGAGACCCACAAGUCGAGCAGAUACGAAAGUAGGUCAUAGUGAUCCGGUGGCUCUGUAUGGAAGGGCCAUCGCUCAACGGAUAAAAGGUACUCUGGGGAUAACAGGCUGAUACCGCCCAAGAGUUCAUAUCGACGGCGGUGUUUGGCACCUCGAUGUCGGCUCAUCUCAUCCUGGGGCUGUAGCCGGUCCCAAGGGUAUGGCUGUUCGCCAUUUAAAGAGGUACGUGAGCUGGGUUUAAAACGUCGUGAGACAGUUUUGUCCCUAUCUGCCGUGGGCG
rnacentral:rRNA from 1 species